GGCCGCAGAGCCUCCCUCCCGGACGGCUGCGGGCUUGGGGCUGCGAGCUGGCUGUCGCCCCGCCUCCCACGCCGAGUCUGCAUCCAGCGUGCCUUCCUCGGUGUGUGCCCCAGCCAGUGGUCACCUCUCCCUGGACAGCAGACCUAUUGUACGGAGGGUCUGCGGCCCAACCGCUCGCCUGCCUGGUGUUGCGGGGCGUGGGGGAGCUCGGCUCUGCCGGCGGCCAGCUGAGAAUCCACGUGUGUCAGCUUUCUUUUUGGUCCUCUGAGUCGCCUGUCUGCCUGCCUCUGUUUCUCCGAGUUGUCUAAACUGCCUGUGACAGGCACAUAUAAGGGGUGUAAACAGAAGAGCUCUGGGAUGGAGUGUUCUCAGCAAGUCCCCUUCCUGUCUCAUAGGGCCAUGGCAGGAAGCUGGUCCUUAAUUAGAAGCUACCAGGAUGGGCUUUCACUGGUCUGGCCCACAGCUCUGAGCAGCCCACUAACCCCAGACAAGAUGCCCAUGCCUUGGACUCCCAGGGUUGCCGUCUGUGCCUGGGUCCUCACUCCUAGACUCUGGCAGCUAGCAUGUUCCCACUGGGAGAAGCAGACACUCCCUCACCCUGCGAUUUAAACAUUAAUAAGAAGGAGGUCACACGUGUAUGCUUUGACACACCCUCCAAAUACCUAACAAAUACCUAACAAAUAGGCAUUCAUAGGACAAAGACAAGUUACAAACCUGGAUAAACAUCUCAGGGACAAGAGAGAGAACUGGUAAAGCAAAGUAUGGAGAAGAGCCAAAGCCGAGGGCCUGUGGGGGAAGGGGGGCUGAAACAUUUUCAGAGAAUGGAGGACAGAACCAGACUCUGCCCAGCCAAGGACUGGAGCCAGGCCACCACACUUUUGAAAGGAGCCUGGGAAAAAAAGAACAAAAAGAAAAGCAGCUGAGCAGAUCUCAGGGGCUGUGGCCAAAACAAAAGCAUAUGGGCCCAGGGAAGCUGGAGAGCAGGGUCAAGCCGUCCUCUAACUCUGUGACUGAAUCUGCACGUCCUCCAGUGUGAGGGAAGAGCACCAAUUCCAAGGCCCUCAGAAGACAAGUUCUGGACCAGGAUACACUGGAUGCAGCCUCCAAACUAAAUCCCCCAGAUGUAAAAGGGGAGAGAGAGAGAGAGAGAGAGAGAGAGAGAGAGAGA